rnacentral:rRNA from 1 species
CCUACGGGUGGCAGCAGUGAGGAAUAUUGGUCAAUGGACGAGAGUCUGAACCAGCCAAGUAGCGUGAAGGAUGACUGCCCUAUGGGUUGUAAACUUCUUUUAUAUGGGAAUAAAACGUUCCACGUGUGGGAUUUUGUAUGUACCAUAUGAAUAAGGAUCGGCUAACUCCGUGCCAGCAGCCGCGGUAAUACGGAGGAUCCGAGCUUAUUCCGGAUUUAUUGGGUUUAAAGGGAGCGUAGGUGGAUUGUUAAGUCAGUUGUGAAAGUUUGCGGCUCAACCGUAAAAUUGCAGUUGAAACUGGCAGUCUUGAGUGCAGUAGAGGUGGGCGGAAUUCGUGGUGUAGCGGUGAAAUGCUUAGAUAUCACGAAGAACUCCGAUUGCGAAGGCAGUUCACUGGACUGCAACUGACACUGAGGCUCGAAAGUGUGGGUAUCAAACAGGAUUAGAUACCCCAGUAGUC